GCUUGUCUCAAAGAUUAAGCCAUGCAUGUCUAAGUAUAAACAAAUCUAUACGUGAAACUGCGAAUGGCUCAUUAUAUCAGUUAUAGUUUAUUUGAUGGUUCUUGCUACUUGGAUAACCGUAGUAAUUCUAGAGCUAAUACAUGCGUCAAACCCCGACUUCUGGGAGGGGUGUAUUUAUUAGAUGGAAACCAAUGCGGGGCAACCCGGUAUAUGGUGAUUCAUAAUAACUUUCGGAUCGAUCUUCGGAUCGAUGCAUCAUUCAAGUUUCUGCCCUAUCAGCUUUGGAUGGUAGGGUAUUGGCCUACCAUGGCUUUAACGGGUAACGGAGAAUUAGGGUUCGAUUCCGGAGAGGGAGCCUGAGAAAUGGCUACCACAUCCAAGGAAGGCAGAGG
rnacentral:rRNA from 1 species